UGGGAACGUGCCCAAAGGUACGGAACAACUCCGGGAAACUGGAGCUAAUACCGUAUGUGCCCGAAAGGGGAAAGAUUCAUCGCCUUUGGAUCGGCCCGCGUCUGAUUAGCUAGUUGGCGGGGUAAUGGCCCACCAAGGCGACGAUCAGUAGCUGGUCAGAGAGGAUGACCAGCCACACUGGGACUGAGACACGGCCCAGACUCCUACGGGAGGCAG
rnacentral:rRNA from 1 species